rnacentral:rRNA from 1 species
UGCGCAGGUGGAAUGAUUAGUCAGUGGUGAAAGCCCUCGGCUCAACCGAGGAACUGCCAUUGAUACUGUCAUUCUUGAGUACAGUUGUAGUGGGCGGAAUGUGUCAUGUAGCGGUGAAAUGCAUAGAGAUGACACAGAACACCGAUCGCGAAGGCAGCUCACUAAGCUGAAACUGACGCUCAGGCACGAAAGCGUGGGUAGCAAACAGGAUUAGAUACCCUGGUAGUCC